CAGAACCGCAGAACCAUACGUCAUGACAGUCUGAGGACGACAGCGCCAGACUAACAGCCUAAGGCCGGAAGUGGGCGGAGUACCAGUCUCACGCCGGAUGUGGGCGGAGUUAGCGACAAACAAACAAACAAUGGCGGAAGAAGAGAACACGAGGAAUAUUAGUAUUGGGAGAUGCUCCGCUUUACUUCAUUUACAGCGAUGCAAGAUGUGCUGCAACAGUUUCCACUGCCCAGUGUUCUUAAACCGACCAGACAGCACAAGUUGAAUGCACACCUUCAAAUUCACUUCAAAAAGGCUGUUGUCCAUGGAGUAAAUUGACAAGCAGAAUCAUCCCAGGACAGUGGAAGCUGAUCAAAAACAAGGAGCCACGGAUCACAGAAGACCUCUGCGCUGCACUUGAAUGGCUGCACAACAACCAAAAGUCUUCAAGCGUUUAGUGGAAGAGCUGUGCUUUCUGAUAUUGAAAAGGAAGACCAGGGAAAAGCCCUUCUUCAACUUUCACAGGCUGAAACGGAUGAUGACAGACAACUGGCCAAAGAGCCUUUAGCGUUUUGCUUACAAAUUAAGAAUGAUAUGGACAUUUUUCUUAAUGAGUGUCUGGACAAAAAGAGUCUUGUAAUUAAUUGCAUGUUUAUGGAGAUUUUUUUUUUUUUUUUUUUUUUUAAAGAUUUAGUUUGUCAUCAUGUACCUGCUGUUCAAUUUACACUCUUUGGUUUGAUUUUGUAAUUUUUUAGAGCAAAGCACAGCUAGUAGCUAUAUAAUGCUUUUGCUACUUAGGGGGAAAAGUACAUUUUAUUAAAAUUAAAUAAAUAACUGUUGUGUUUUGUUUUUGGGUUUGAUGGAUCUGAAUUUGCUUAAUUCAUGCAAUCUAGUGUACAACUGUGUAAUGUGUAUUAUAUUAAUGUGUAUUAUAUAUUAUGAAAAACAAUGGUUCAUUCUGAAAUGCUUGAGUAAAAUAUACAUUUUAUGACAAAUUAAUAAAUGUUUAUAAUUUUUUGUUUAA